rnacentral:rRNA from 1 species
GAUGAACGCUGGCGGCGUGCCUAAUACAUGCAAGUCGAGCGAACAGACGAGGAGCUUGCUCCUCUGACGUUAGCGGCGGACGGGUGAGUAACACGUGGAUAACCUACCUAUAAGACUGGGAUAACUUCGGGAAACCGGAGCUACUACCGGAUAAUAUAUUGAACCGCAUGGUUCAAUAGUGAAAGACGGUUUUGCUGUCACUUCUAGAUGGAUCCGCGCCGCAUUAGCUAGUUGGUAAGGUAACGGCUUACCAAGGCAACGAUGCGUAGCCGACCUGAGAGGGUGAUCGGCCACACUGGAACUGAGACACGGUCCAGACUCCUACGGGAGGCAGCAGUAGGGAAUCUUCCGCAAUGGGCGGAAGCCUGACGGAGCAACGCCGCGUGAGUGAUGAAGGUCUUCGGAUCGUAAAACUCUGUUAUUAGGGAAGAACAAAUGUGUAAGUAACUAUGCACGUCUUGACGGUACCUAAUCAGAAAGCCACGGCUAACUACGUG